AGCAUGUGCAGGAAGAUACAAUAGGGAAACCUCUACCAAACAACAUGACUUAUGAGGGAACCAGACAGAGCAUGCAAGUUGACUGCUGUAAAGUCAGGCUGUGUUUCUAUGAGGGCAGUGAUAGCUACACUUCAUUUGCUACUGCUGCUGCCAAAAUGCUCGCCGACAAGUACUUCUGGCUAACCAGGAAACAGAUAACAGCUUUAGCUCGCUGUAAGUGUCCAUCUUCACAGGAAGAAUUCUUCUAAAGCAGAAGGCGGACUGCAGGUGGGGCGGGUAGUGCCCCAUAGCAGGCAGCCUCUGCCAUCACCGCCCACCUCAGCAGGACUGGGCCCUGUACAUCGCGGUCUCUUGUCGGCCGUGACUACGAGCAGGCCCGCCGCCGGCAGCGUCACUCAGCGCGCUAGCGGGGCCGGAGGUGCCGAGUACUUAGUGCGGGCGGCGAGGCAAGGGCCGCCGAGAGGGGCGGAACGAACGUCGUGCUCUCGCCCCGCCGGCAAGUCCCUCGGCCUCCGCAAACUCCGCAUCGCCACAGCCCAGCAGCAAGACCUGCUAAUAGCGCGGCUCGCCUCCAGCACCGCCCCGGGCGUGCAAAGCCUCGCUGAGCCUCGCUUCCCCAGGGCCGGCCGCAGCGGGGAGAGCGAGGUGAGAGGACCGAAGUUGGCUGGGUUCGUCUGGCCUCCACCUCGCCCGACUCCGCUGUCCCUCAGAGGGGGCGAUGGUCGGGCAGCACCUUUCUGCCAAAGGUUGCCCCGUCCCCCGUCGCUGCGACGACGAAAAGUUGUGGAGGUCUGGACAAUACGAGAAGGACUAUUUAUCCUUCCGCCGGACGGCUGUGACGGGAGGAGGAGGAGGGGGAGGGGGUGGGGAGCGGUGAGUGCCCCCCCUCGCCUCUGGCUACCGGGGCGGAGCUGCUGAUCCCUCCCCGGAGCCGGUUAUGAAAGCCGAGGGAGCCAAACCCCGUCCCGUUGAGGCCUGGGGUGAGGCGGCUAUCUGGCCGGGAGUCGUUGCCUCAUCCCGUUCAGGGCCACGCUGAAGGGCCCCUGCGAGAACUGCCUUCGGGCGCAGGACAACGCGGAGCUGGCAGGGCGGCGAUAGCCGGGACGGCUCGAUUUCCCGUGGUCUCGGAUGAGGUCCUGCUGUCACCACUGGGAGAAGCAAGUGCUGCUCUUGCCCUGGAGCCCUCGGCCUCUCCGCUCGCUGCCGGAUACUAAGAGACGAGCACGAAGACUCGGUGUCCGUACGGCGCAGCUCCCGGGCUGUGCGCGCCCUGCAAAACUUCCGAUCUUCCUGCUGGUGAUUCAGGAAAUUAAUCUCAACAUCACCGGUGGCAAAGCAAACGGCUUAAACCCGAAAGUGACUUUACAUUCACACAGGAUGUGAUUCGGGUACUUACUGUGUUCAAGACAACCUUUUAGCAAUCAUCUGAAAUCAAGUUUUAAAAUAAAUAAGUAGUCACAAAUUAAUCUGUCUUCAAGAGUGGCCAAAACAAUCAGUAUGACUUAAAUAACUGAAACAACUAAACACAUCCCCGAGUAUUCAUCAAAUCAAAUGCAGAUCGACACCCCUGCAGACAAAAGUAUCUUCCCAGUGUAUCUCAACAUUUCUGUUCAGGAGCCCACACCAGUGCUCCUUGGAAGAAGUUUAGCUUUAAAAUCAGACUUGCAGCAGAACCUCAUCCCUCCUGAACCAUCUUAAGAGUUCAAGAUUUUCCUUCAGUGGAGCUAUGACUUUCUCCCUGGGCUUUCAACUCUGCCAAUAAUCAAGUAACUUCAUAAAGAACACACAAUACCCAGACAGGACAGCAGAGGAUUAAGAAGUCAGAACUGUAAUACCUGACAAAGAUGAAGACGGGAAGGUGACCAGGGAAUAGGGUUAGGGAUAUAAUUAUAAUUAGGGGUUGGGGUUAAGAUUAGGGUUAUAGUAAAACCAUUAGGGUUAGGGGUUAGAGUUAGGGUUAUGGCUGCGGCUAGAUUUAGGCCAUUAGGGUGUUAGGGUUAGGCUUAGAGUUAAGCCAUUAGGGUCAUGGUUAGGUUUAAAGUUAUGAGUUAGGGUUUGGCCACUAAUGUUAGAGUAUUUGUGCUAGUGAUUAAGCCAUUUUUUUUUAGUGUUAGGGUUAUGCCAUUAGUGGUAAGGUUAGGCCAUUAGUUUUAGCCUUAGGGUUAGACUAUUAGGGCUAGGGUUAUGGGUUACAGUUAGGCUUAGGAAAUUUAGGGUUUAAAUUAGGGUUAGUCCAUUAGAAUUAGGUGCAGGGUUCUGCCAUCAGGCUUACGGUCUGGGCAUUAGGGUUAGGUUUAGGGUUGUGGUUAUGUUAGGCCAUUAGGGUUAGCAUUACGGUUACUGUUGUGAUAAGAAUGAAGGUUUCGGUUACAGUUAGGUUUAGGUUCGGCUUAGCAUUAGGGUUAGGCUAUUAGGGAUACAUUUAAGGUUAUGGUUAGGGGUUAGGUUUAGGCCAUAAGGGUUAGGGUUACGCCAUUAGUGUUAGGCUGUCCAGUUUAGGGCUAGCAUUAGGACAUUAGGGUUAGGACUUAGAAGUUAGAAGUAGGGCUAGGGUUUAGGUUUAGGUGUUAGGGUUAGGCUUAGGUUUAGGGUUAGUGCUACAGUUAAAACUAAGGUUAGAUGUUAGAGUUAGGAUUUAGGAUUAGGGGUUAGUAGUUAUGGGUUUGUGGUUAGGGUUAGGUGUUUAUGGUUAGGGUAAGGUUUAUGGUUAGAGAUAGGGUUAGGAUUAUGGUUAUCUCUAAAUUAAGUGAGCUUAUUUGCCUCCACCAGCAGGAGAAACAAUUCUUUCCUUGCCUCAACUGUCUUCUACGAGCAGCAAUGCUGUCAGCAUUCAACUAUGCUACAAACAUUAGCAAUGCUAAUUUGGAACUAUACUUUGCACAAAUGUGGAGUUUCUUUGCCACUAUAUCUUUAUGCCUAAAUGAAGAUCAAUGAAUGACAAUGCUACGUAUCUGGUCCUACUAGAGUGUCCCUGGUCUGAGUCUCUCAUUUACUGUACAUUAA